UAGAAUGAGUGAGGGGAAAGAAG
rnacentral:piRNA from 1 species